GUCCCUACGGGACGCAGCAGUGGGGAAUUUUGGACAAUGGGCGCAAGCCUGAUCCAGCUAUUCCGCGUGUGGGAAGACGGCCCUCGGGUUGUAAACCACUUUUGUAGAGAACGAAAAGUCUAUUGAUAAUACCGAUAGACGAUGACGGUACUCUAAGAAUAAGCACCGGCUAACUACGUGCCAGCAGCCGCGGUAAUACGUAGGGUGCGAGCGUUAAUCGGAAUUACUGGGCGUAAAGGGUGUGCAGGCGGUUUUGCAAGAUGGGUGUGAAAGCCCCGGGGUUAACCU
rnacentral:rRNA from 1 species